CACAAUACGGCACAUUUUCUUCAACUUUGUGGAGUUUCAGUGCUCCACGAAGCCUCGGUCUAAUAACCACUAGUUAAACAGCAUUUACAGGAUUUAUUAUUUUUUUAAACGAAAAAAUAGUUACCGAUAUGACUGUUUUUCCUGGGAAAACCUGCGAGUGGAGAGAUGGCGUGUGACUGAACACAGGACGAGAAGCGACUCGGGACCGAGCAGUGGCAAACGGACCAGAACGAUGCUGUUUCAAAUUCCAGACGAAUAUAAUCCCUCUACGAGUGAUUAAGGGGUAUAAAGAAACUCGGCUUGACUGUACAAAAGCUGGAAUCGUACCCUGGAGAUCUGUUGGUUGAAGAAUCACAUGAAGAAAAUUGACCUGCGCUUUUUUGCAAACCCGAUCCAACCUCAACUGAGCUGUUAAAUCCUCUCUCUGUUAAUAACAAGUUAAUUUUUUUUAACAAAAUGUACUUUUUUACAUUUCAUUUGCUGUAUUUGGACAGGAGGAAUAAAUCUUUUUUUAAAUAAUUAUUAUGAAUCAUAUUUAAUCAUAAACUCUUGACUGAAGCAGUCUAGCAUUAUUUAUCUCAGUUAAUCUAUGGCUUGUGGUCAUGAAGUCGUUUUAUCUUAUAUACAUUAAAGGACUUUUAAUUACACGUUAUUGCUUUGUUUUUGUUUUUUAAAGGAAAUUGGUUAUGUUAAAAGUCACUGAAAUGUCACAUUUUUGACAGCAACAAUUAGAAAAGUUCCCAAUAAUUAUAUAAAUGGAAUAAGUAAAAUAUCAUGUUCACUGGUUUGUAACAUGACUGGUGAGGGGGGUACAAUGGCUUAGCGAUUAGCAAGUUUGCCUGUCACUUCCAGGGUUGGGGGUUUCGAAUCCCGCCUCUACCCUGUGUGCACGGCACUCGCAUGUUCUCCCCGUGCUUAAGUGAAAACUGAAACUGAAAACUAUUUUCACGAAUAAGAC